GUAGGUGCAAAUUGAAGAUACAGCAGAAAAGUAUCCGUAUAACACUAACCUGUCUGAAGGUACCAGCUGUUAAACACAUCUGUUCAAAUACCAACAUUGGCACCAAGAAAACCGAGCACAAAGUCCUGAUCCAUCAUAGUGCUUACACCCACUCAGGGUAAAUGUACAAGUCAUUAAUCUUGAGGUGCUGCUAAUCAACAAAGAGAGGAUGGAGGGAAGAUGAAAUGGUGAAGAGGUUGUGUUACCCACAGUUAUUCAGCACUGGAAUGAAUUAUUGCUGAAAACCAGCCAAAUACUGAAGCUUCAGCAGGAAAAUGUUUAAUGAAGCUGCAGAUCAAAUAAGGACAAGGCUCAUUACGUCUUCUAUAACACGAGUGUGAAACAUGAAGACUUGGGGCUGAAGAGCAGGUCAUCUACUAAUUAACAGAUGUACGAGAAAGAAGGCUGAACAGAAGAUAAGGACAAAGAUCUCAUGCCUCACCGGAGCACGAAGCAACGUCGGAAAGAAGUCACUGAUGGAGGUGUUCUCACAGCUGACCCAUGGGAGCUGGGAGCUGAAUGAAAACACGAGGUAGAAGAGAGCCCAGACUUGUAUUAAAAUGUAGCUAAAGUCAUAAAG